CCUACGGGGGGCAGCAGUGAGGAAUAUUGGUCAAUGGGCGCGAGCCUGAACCAGCCAAGUAGCGUGAAGGAUGACUGCCCUACGGGUUGUAAACUUCUUUUAUAAAGGAAUAAAGUGCGGCACGUGUGCCUUUUUGUAUGUACUUGAUGAAUAAGGAUCGGCUAACUCCGUGCCAGCAGCCGCGGUAAUACGGAGGGUCCGAGCGUUAUCCGGAUUUAUUGGGUUUAAAGGGAGCGUAGGUGGGUUGUUAAGUCAGUUGUGAAAGUUUGCGGCUCAACCGUAAAAUUGCAUUUGAUACUGGCAGGCUUGAGUACAGGUGAGGUAGGCGGAAUUCGUGGUGUAGCGGUGAAAUGCUUAGAUAUCACGAAGAACUCUGAUUGCGAAGGCAGCUUACUAAACUGCCACUGACAUUGAUGCUCGAAAGUGUGGGUAUCAAACAGGAUUAGAUACCCCGGUAGUC
rnacentral:rRNA from 1 species